AUCCAGAUGACGAGUCCCGAAUAGGACGAAACGCGCGUCAAACUGGAU
rnacentral:hammerhead_ribozyme from 1 species